UAUAUUUAUUUGCACUUUCUCCUGUAUAUGUACUUUCUAAUUUCUUGUUGAUUUGAAUGCAUAAAUUCUAACAUCAUCUAUAUGAUCACGGCCUGAUCUGCCAGAAACGACUUGGAAACGUGCAAUCAGGACGCUGGCGUGCUCGAAAUAGCAGAUUGAGGACCUAAUAAAUAAAGUUACCAUCAAGUUUUUUUUGAAGGGAUAUCACCAAGGAUCGUUAUUACCAGACCCGUGACCGUGGUAGAAUGUAUAACAUACACUUACUGAAGAUAAUCUCCAGUGAACUCCAUCGGAAGUCCAAGAUUUUAAGCAGCAAACAAGUCCCAGAACGCAAGCUGAAGAAUUUAGCACAUGGAGCUCCGUGCUCGAGUCCUUUAUCCUUCUUCAAGCUGAAGUCCUUUAUUUUGAGCAGAAAACAAGUCCCAGAGUGCAAUCUGAAGAAUUAUAGCA